UACGAAGGGGGCUAGCGUUGCUCGGAAUUACUGGGCGUAAAGCGUGCGCAGGCGGCUUUGCAAGACAGAUGUGAAAUCCCCGGGCUUAGCCUGGGAACUGCAUUUGUGACUGCAUGGCUGGAGUGCGGCAGAGGGGGAUGGAAUUCCGCGUGUAGCAGUGAAAUGCGUAGAUAUGCGGAGGAACACCGAUGGCGAAGGCAAUCCCCUGGGCCUGCACUGACGCUCAUGCACGAAAGCGUGGGGAGCAAACAGG
rnacentral:rRNA from 1 species